CUCAAAUGAGACCCUGGAGCCAAAGCCUGGUGCUGCAGAAGAAGAGGACACCGCUUCUCCUCUGGAAAAGACACAAAGCCCUUUGCCGGGUGACCUUGUGAAGCACAGUUCCUUUAUUUCAGAAGAAGAUUUUGGAAAGGAGAAAUUAUCCUCAUCAAAUGAAGUGAUGACUCACUCAAACAAUCAAGCCCUACAAAGGAGUUCCCUAACUGACCUGGAGACCUGCCAUGAGGCAUCUGAAUCUUUCAUUGAGCAUGAAGAGGACACUGCAGAUGAGAUGCCCUGGCCUGACUCUGAGGCAUGGCAGUCACCCUUGUCCACCCCUUUACCAGUAUCAGUGAGUGGGAUUGCAGGACAAAGUAUCUAUCACACUCUUGGAAAUCCUCCGGCAGUUCAACCUGUUGGUCUGGUGGGACAGGGAGCUGGUGCUGUGGAACAUGAGUAUGACAGCCAUGGCUGUGAGAAGUAUCCACACACCCCUUCGGAUGAGUUGACAGAUCGUGGGAAUGACACAAUGGGGGAGAAGAAAACUAUGUGUGAUUUUAAGAACCAAGCACUAUUCCCAGAUCAUGCAACAGAAAAUGAAAACUCUACAGGCAAAGAGACAAAUGCAUGUCAGAAACUUGAUAACUGUCUUUCACAUUCAACCACAAAGCCAGGACAACAUGAAAAUAAAACCACACUAGCAGGGAAUCCCCUGUUACCCUUGGAGAAGAGCCAAACACCAAUAUUAGAUGACACCAAAAAGCAAGGAUGUGAUAUGCUAGAAGAGAACCCAAUUCCUCCAUCAACUGAAUUGGUCUCACACCAAAAGAAAGAUCCAAGAAGUAGAAAUAAAAUAUCUGAACACACAAGGGGUAAGCUCUUCUCCUCAGAUGAUGGCAUGAAACAUGAAAGUGAUAGGAUGGAGACAGAGGAGAAAGAAGAGAAAAAUGUCUUGCAUAAAUUUGAGCAGGAACAAGUAUUCACUCCAAAUGAUACUGUUGACCAUGAUAAUGACUCUUCAAAGCAGAAUGAUGCUUAUAGUCCUCCAACAUCCCAGUUGCCUUCAUCAGAGGAUGAUAGCAACAUUCAAGGAGUGAAAAAUACGGGACAGAGUUUGGAGCAUCUAACAUCUCCAAGAGAUUUUGUGAAACACAAACAUGAUAUGACAGGAGAUGAAGACAUCUAUUGCAAUAAUAAGAAAAACAACCCGGACUCAUCAGAUGAGCCAAUUAAACAUACAAAUGACCAUGAAGGGCUCAAAAACAUCAAGUCAGACUUCAACAAUUAUUCAAUGCCAUCAAGAAAUACAGCAAGGCAGGACAAUAAGAUGGCUGAUGAGGACAGUACCACUCUAGACACUCAGAAACAGAUGUCACCAGGUGACCUUGUAAAGCCUGAAACUAAGCCAGACAAAAAAGAGACUAAACAUACCUCUGAGAAGUUCCAGUCACCUUCUUCAAACAAAGUGCCAAAUUCUCAAGACAGAAGCUCUUCAGGACAGAGGAAGCAAAAGACACCAGCAGAAGAAGGCACUGGAUCACCUGAAACAGAGGUAGUAAAAGAAGAUAUUGAGCAGCAAUUUUCUGGGAAGCACCAGCUACCUCCAUCAAGAAAAUCAGAAAUGCAUGAGGAAAAUAUUCCAGGAGACAAACAGCAAUUGGGAUUUGAAGAAUUUCUGACACCUGAUACAAAUACUGCAAAAGAGAAAGACAAACUUCUGAGUUCCAGGAAAUGUCUAUCAGUAGCACCAGAAACAUUGGUUAAGCCUCAAGAAAAAAAUACUCCAGAACAAAAGCAAAAAACAUCAGAGUCUUCAGAUUUUAAGAAGCCUGGUACUAAUUCUCUAAAAGAAAAGGGUGGAGAUCCAAAUUCUGAGAAGCUGCCUUCUUCAAAAGAAGUGCCAAAGCCUCAGGAAAAUAGUGUUUCAGGAGAGAGGAAGCAAAAGGCACCAGCAGGAGAGGACACCAGGUCACCUGAAGAAAAGGGUAUGAAAGAGAAAAAUAAGUACCAAGGUUCUAGGAACCAUCCAUUACCUGCUUCAAGUAAAUUACUGAAGCCUGAGAAAAAUAUUCCAGGAGGAGAAAAGCCACAAACUGUACCUGAAAGUUUUACAAAGCCUGAUACAAAUGCUGUAAAAGAUAAAAGCAAAGAUCCAGCUUCUGAGAUGUGGCAGUCUCCACACUCAAAUUUGCCCGUGAAGUCUCAAGAAAAUGAUGCCACAGCCGAAAAGGAGCAUUUGCCACCACCGCAUGACGAAAAACCCACAUAUAAAACUGGUAAUCCAGAAAAGAAGAGUGAACCUGAGAGAAGAGAGAAAUACCAGCUAGGCUCUUCAGCUCUGUCAGAGAGGGAGAGCAAUGAUGGCUCAGGAGAGGAGGGCCCUGUGAGUGAUUUCAGAAGCUGUCAAGCUCCAUUGCCAAGCAAUGGCAUAAACUGUAAAAGCGGUGCCAUCCCAAAAGAGACCUGUUUGUCUAAUACAGAGAAAUCCCCCAAAUCAUCCUCACCAUUAUAUGUUGCAUCAAAAGAUGAGGUAAAUCCUACUGGAAACAGAAAAAAGCAGCCUGGAUUUAAGAAGUACAAAGCACUCUCAAAGACUUCGGUGAGGCAUGAGAAAGAUGCUGCUGAAAGGGAGGGGAGUGGGCAGGCAGCUGGCAAAACAAGUGAGGAAAAAGCAGAGUUGGAGGACUGCUCUAAAGCAACGCCAUUCUCCAAAUACACAGUGGAAAGCUACGGUGAAGGAUCCUUAGAUUCAGCUUUCAAACCAUUGAUCAUUAGAGUAACUGACACAUUUAAACAUCACAGCUAAAAAUUAUGGCUACAGCUUAGGCAAGAACUUACAACAGAUCAUGCUACCGAUUCACUUGAUCUUUCUUUUUUCCUUUUUCUCCAGGGCAUUAUAUUAUCAUUUUUUAAUCACAAGGAGAUUGAUGUGCAUUUAUCAGAGCUAGGGUUUUUUUUU
rnacentral:lncRNA from 1 species